UACAGAGGGGGCGAGCGUUGUUCGGAAUUACUGGGCGUAGAGGGCGCGUAGGCGGCCCGCUAAGUCGAACGUGAAAUCCCCAGGCUCAACCUGGGAACUGCGUCCGAUACUGGCAGGCUUGAAUCCGGGAGAGGGAUGUGGAAUUCCAGGUGUAGCGGUGAAAUGCGUAGAUAUCUGGAGGAACACCGGUGGCGAAGGCGGCAUCCUGGACCGGUAUUGACGCUGAGGCGCGAAAGCUAGGGGAGCAAACGGG
rnacentral:rRNA from 1 species